UACGUAGGUCCCGAGCGUUGUCCGGACUUACUGGGCGUAAAGCGAGCGCAGGUGGUUUAUUAAGUCUGGUGUAAAAGGCAGUGGCUCAACCAUUGUAUGCAUUGGAAACUGGUAGACUUGAGUGCAGGAGAGGAGAGUGGAAUUCCAUGUGUAGCGGUGAAAUGCGUAGAUAUAUGGAGGAACACCGGUGGCGAAAGCGGCUCUCUGGCCUGUAACUGACACUGAGGCUCGAAAGCGUGGGGAGCAAACAGG
rnacentral:rRNA from 1 species